rnacentral:tRNA from 1 species
GGGGCCGUAGCUCAGGUGGGAGAGCGCUGGAAUCGCACUCCAGAGGCCAGGGGUUCAAAUCCCCUCGGCUCCA